rnacentral:lncRNA from 1 species
AUGCCAAAAGUAUAUUAAGGGCCAAAUAUGCCUCAUAGUAGCCUCCCUUGACACUCAUAUAAAAUAUGCAAAAAAGAUACCUCACAGUUCUCAUUUUCAAUUAUAAUGCCUUAGGUCUCAUUACUUUUUCCUCAGAUCAGUAUAAGGAAAAAAGUUUUUCCAUGCUCAUCCUGCUGAUAAAACUUCAGUCACUGACACGUUCCCUUUAAAACUAACAAGGCUUUUUAUCUCCCUGCAUUGGCCAGAUAACGAUUUUACAGGCCACUCGGAAUUACCAGAGAGAGCUGAAACUGGAGCAGAGAGAUAAAUGAGAUCCCUGCAGAUAAACCACAUAAUUCAGGGCAGUCAGGAGUUGCAGCCUCUUCCCUCACUUAACCUUGUACCAAGGCUGCUGUGGGUAAUUUGAUUCCCUGCGUACCUUUCUCUGUUGGAAUGGAGAGGGAAUUUUAGGGAGACGUCAGACUGGCAGAAGGAGAGACAACACCCUGUGAAGGAAGGAAAACUGCAUACGGAUUUAGGAGACUUAACCUAAUUAUGCCACCUAAGAUCGAUUAUUUCACUACUCAAAAAUCUUAAUGUCCUUACCUGAAAGAGAGGAGGUUGCACUGAACCUAUGAGAGAGAGAACCUGAGUUGUGGAAGGACUCUCUAAAGUCCUUGCUUGGGGCAAGUGGGGAAGUAACUGGGUUCUGGGCUGUGGUUCUCUCAGAAUGGUUCUGCUUUGGUCUGUUUACACAUCGGGAUUACAUGUUAAGAUUUCAUUUUCUGGAAGGUAUCCAAUGCUAAAGAAAACUAAAACAUGUUUCCUUCUAGCUCUACCACCCUCUGAUUUUUUUUUAUUAGUCUAUGAUAAGAGGAGGUGAAUGCCUGCUAAAGUGACCAGAAGGCUCUCAGUAAAAAGUAUUAACAAGAUAUCAAUUGAAUCUGCAAAACCAAGAAGUGCUUGAAGGAUAUGAAAGAGGAAACUUGAAGGGAAACCCCGAUGGCACAUCUCUCUUCUUGGCUAGGUAGAUGGAAUGUACAGCUAGAGGAUUGGAUGAGGUCAUCCACAGAGAGAACACCGAGAGACUUCUGGGGCUCACCAACACGAAGAAUUUGGGACAAGAAAGAAGAUCCAGCAGAGAAGACUGAAAGAAGGCAGCUAAUAAAAUAGGAGAGAAACUGGAGAGUUUAGAGUUUUGGAGGCCAAGAAGGUGGUUUAAUAUAACCCCUAUCGAAGCAUUCGUGGUUUAUUUUUAUGAACUGACAAAAUGCUUCUAAAACAUACCUGAAAGGUAUAAUUAAUGCACACCUAGGAUAAUGGAUCAUUGUGCCACAUAUUCCUGUUUCACAACUAAUACGGACAUAUUUUCAUGACUUUGUAAAAUAAAAAUGGAAUCUUUCUAAUUUUUUUUUAAACAGCUGCUUGCUUAUGUAAGUCUUCUGUCUCUCACUGUAUAACCCCUCCACUUUUACAUGGGCACACGUUUCUGUCACUUUCCUGGAGCCCUUGUAGCACAUUAAUAAAAUGUAGCACGUGCUUGAAGAAAAAUUUGUCUAGGACAUUUUGUUUUGAAGACUCAUAAAUUGACGCUAUUUUACAUAGGAAUCUAUUAUGCCAUAGGAAGCAUAUUAUAAACCCUUAAGCAGGGACCAAUUAUUCAGUAAAUGGUGAUGACAUGAAUGUCUAGAAAUAUGAAAGCUUUGAUUUCUCACUUCAUUCCACACACCAAAGUGAAUUCUAGAUUG